rnacentral:rRNA from 1 species
AGAUCUGAAAUCAGGUGGGACUACCCGCUGAACUUAAGCAUAUCAAUAAGCGGAGGAAAAGAAACUAACAAGGAUUCCCCUAGUAACGGCGAGUGAAGCGGGAAAAGCUCAAAUUUAAAAUCUGGCAGGUACCCUGUCCGAGUUGUAGUUUCAAGAAGCGUUUUCGGUGCGCGUCCGGGUAUAAGUUCUUUGGAACAGGACAUCAUAGAGGGUGAGAAUCCCGGUUUAUGACCCGGAACUGCGUACUAUGUGAUACGUUUUCUAAGAGUCAGGUUGUUUGGGAAUGCAGCCUAAAAUGGGUGGUAAAUUUCAUCUAAAGCUAAAUAUUGGCGAGAGACCGAUAGCGAACAAGUACCGUGAGGGAAAGAUGAAAAGAACUUUGAAAAGAGAGUUAAACAGUACGUGAAAUUGUUGAAAGGGAAACGUUUGAAAUCAGUCGUGCGGGCGGGUAAUCAGCUUGGCCUUUGGGUCUUGUGCACUUUCUCGUCUCGCAGCCAGCGUCGGUUUUGUUUGCCGGAUAAAUGCCAAAGGAAUGUAGCUCCACCUUUCACGAGGAGGGGUCUUAUAGCCCUGGUAAAUACGGCGGUCGAGACCGAGGUCUGCAGUGGAUGCCUUUCGGGGCUGGGGACUCCAUCGUUCAUUCGCACCCGCGCCUAGACAGCUUGCUGACUAGGUGUGUGGUCUGUGGGUGACACGGUGGCCUACCACACAUCGACUUGGGUCGCUGGCGUAAUGGUUUUAAAUGACCCGUCUUGAAACACGGACCAAGGAGUCUAACAUAUAUGCGAGUGUUUGGGUGGCAAACCCAUGCGCGUAAUGAAAGUGAAUGUAGGUGAGAUCCUCACGGAGNNNCUUCACCGAUCUUGAAAUUUUUGGAUAGAUUUGAGUNANNCNUAUCUGUUGGGACCCGAAAGAUGGUGAACUAUGCCUGAAUAGGG